AUAAGCUAUUAAGGGCUAAUGGUGGAUGCCUUGACUGUAAGAGGCGAUGAAGGACGUAUUAGGCUGCGAUAAGCCACGGGGAGCUGCCAAAGAGCUUUGAUCCGUGGAUUUCCGAAUGGGGGAACCCACUAGCCUUGAUCGGCUAGGAUCAACUAAGUGAAUACAUAGCUUAGUUGAAGGAAGACGAAGUGAACUGAAACAUCUCAGUAACUUCAGGAAGAGAAAGCAAAUGCGAUUCCCAAAGUAGCGGCGAGCGAAAUGGGAAGAGGCCAAACCAACAUGCUUGCAUGUUGGGGUUGUAGGACUACGAUGUGAGACAAGAUGUGUUAACCGAAUGAUAUGGAAAGAUCAGCCACAGCAGGUGACAGCCCUGUAGGUGAAAACACAAAUUGCUCUAGUAGGAUCCUGAGUACGGCGGAACACGAGAAAUUCCGUCGGAAUCUGGGAAGACCAUUUCCCAAGCCUAAAUACUACCUAGUGACCGAUAGUGAACCAGUACCGUGAGGGAAAGGUGAAAAGAACCCCGGAAGGGGAGUGAAAAGAACCUGAAACCGUAUGCUUACAAGUAGUCAGAGCCCGUUAAUGGGUGAUGGCGUACCUUUUGCAGAAUGGACCGGCGAGUGAUGAUUACAUGCAAGGUUAAACCCCAGAGGUGGAGCCGCAGCGAAAGCGAGUCUGAAUAGGGCGUGCAGUAUGUAGUUGUUAACCCGAAACCAAGUGACCUAUCCAUGUCCAGGGUGAAAGUGCGGUGAAACGCACCGGAGGCCCGAACCCAUGUAUGUUGAAAAAUGCUGGGAUGAGGUGUGGAUAGAGGAGAAAUACCAAUCGAACUUGGAAAUAGCUGGUUCUCUCCGAAAUAGUUUUAGGACUAGCCUCGGAUAAUGAUAUGAUGAAGGUAGAGCGACUGUUAAGACAAGGGCCCCUUACCGGGGUACCAACUCUUGAUAAACUCCGAAUUUCAUCAGUAUUGAUCCGGGAGUCACACUGUGAGUGCUAAGAUUCAUAGUGGAAAGGGAAACAGCCCAGACCGUCAGCUAAGGCCCCCAAAUUCUUGUUAAGUGGAAAAGGAUGUGGGGCUGCAUAGACAACUAGGAUGUUGGCUUAGAAGCAGCCAUCAUUUAAAGAGUGCGUAAUAGCUCACUAGUCGAGUGGCCCUGCGCCGAAAAUGUAACGGGGCUAAACAAGAUGCCGAAGCCACGGAUAGAACCUUCGGGUUCUAUGGUAGGAGAGCGUUCUAAGUGCAUAGAAGGUAAACCGUGAGGAUUGCUGGAGCGCUUAGAAGUGAGAAUGCCGGUAUGAGUAGCGAGACACGGGUGAGAAUCCCGUGCACCGAAAGACUAAGGUUUCCAGGGGAAGGCUCGUCCGCCCUGGGUUAGUCGGGACCUAAGCUGAGGCCAAACGGCGUAAGCGAUGGAUAGCAGGUAGAGAUUCCUGCACUAGUGAUAUUUGUUUGAGCGAAGGAGAGACACAGGAGGCUAUGGCAAGCGCGCUGAUGGAUAUGCGCGUCCAAGCAAUGAGUCUGAGAGGGAGUAAAAUGCUUCUUCUCAUAAGGACAAGUUGUGAUGGGGAGGGAAGUUUAGUACCGAAGUGCCAGACGUCACACUGUCAAGAAAAUUUUCUAGUGAGAAUAUCAGUACCCGUACCGCAAACCGACACAGGUAGUCGAGGAGAGUAUCCUAAGGUGAGCGAGAGAACUUUCGUUAAGGAACUCGGCAAAAUGACCCCGUAACUUAGGGAUAAGGGGUGCUGACCAUUGGUCAGCCGCAGUGAAUAGGCCCAAGCGACUGUUUAUCAAAAACACAGGUCUCUGCUAACUCGUAAGAGGAUGUAUAGGGGCUGAGACCUGACCAGUGCUGGAACGUUAAUGGUGGCGGUCCGAGUACAUAAGUUAUGUACUUGGGCUAACUGCUUGAAGCGCCAGUGAACGUCCGCGGUAACUAUAACCGUGUUAAAGUAGCGUAAUCCCUUGUCGGGUAAAUUCCGACCCGCACGAAAGGCUUAACGACUAGGGGACUGUCUCAACGAAGUGCUCGGUGAAAAUGCAAUACCGGUGAAGAUGCCGGUUACCUGCGGCUAGACGGAAAGACCCCGGGAGCUUUACUAUAACUAGAUGUUGAUUUUUGGUUUUGGAUGCGAAGUGUAGGUGGGAGACUUUGAAGUUUUGUUUUCGGACAAAAUGGAGUCGCCAAUGAGACACCACCCUUUCUGAAUCUUAAAUCUAACUUAACCGUACCGCAUAUCGUGACUGGGAAAC
rnacentral:rRNA from 1 species